UACGGGGGAGCAAGCGUUGUUCGGAUUUACUGGGCGUAAAGGGCGCGUAGGCGGUCAGCACAAGUCAGUUGUGAAAUCUCCGGGCUUAACUCGGAAAGGUCAACUGAUACUGUGCGACUAGAGUGCGGAAGGGGCAACUGGAAUUCUCGGUGUAGCGGUGAAAUGCGCAGAUAUCAGGAAGAACACCCGUGGCGAAGGCGGCUCUCUGGUACGUGAUUACGUGAGACGCGAAAGCGUGGGGAGCGAACAGG
rnacentral:rRNA from 1 species